UCAGAAACUCAAAGGAAUUGACGGGGCCCGCACAAGCGGUGGAGUAUGUGGUUUAAUUCGAUGCAACGCGAAGAACCUUACCUGGUCUUGACAUCCCGGAGACCCUUAGGAAACUAGGGGGUGCUUCCAUCUGGAAGAAUCUGGAGACAGGUGCUGCAUGGCUGUCGUCAGCUCGUGUCGUGAGAUGUUGGGUUAAGUCCCGCAACGAGCGCAACCCUUGCCUUUAGUUGCCAGCAGUUCGGCUGGGCACUCUAAAGGGACUGCCGGUGUUAAACCGGAGGAAGGUGGGGAUGACGUCAAGUCCUCAUGGCCUUUAUGACCAGGGCUACACACGUACUACAAUGGCCGAUACAAAGGGCAGCGACACUGCGAGGUGAAGCCAAUCCCGUAAAAUCGGUCUCAGUCCGGAUUGGAGUCUGCAACUCGACUCCAUGAAGUUGGAAUCGCUAGUAAUCGUGGAUCAGCAUGCCACGGUGAAUACGUUCCCGGGCCUU
rnacentral:rRNA from 1 species